rnacentral:rRNA from 1 species
UGGGGAAUAUUGGGCAAUGGGCGCAAGCCUGACCCAGCAACGCCGCGUGAGGGAAGAAGGCCUUCGGGUUGUAAACCUCUGUCCUAUGGGAAGAAAAAAAGUGACGGUACCAUAGGAGGAAGCUCCGGCUAACUACGUGCCAGCAGCCGCGGUAAUACGUAGGGAGCGAGCGUUGUCCGGAAUUACUGGGCGUAAAGGGUGCGUAGGCGGUUAUUUAAGUCAGAUGUGAAAUACUUGAGCUUAACUCAGGGGCUGCAUCUGAUACUGGGUGACUAGAGUGCAGGAGAGGAAAGUGGAAUUCCUAGUGUAGCGGUGGAAUGCGUAGAUAUUAGGAGGAACACCAGUGGCGAAGGCGGUCGCCUGGUCUGUAACUGACACUGAUGCACGAAAGCGUGGGGAGCAAAUAGGAUUAGAUACCC